AUGCCGGCUGAGAUCUUUUGGCAUGGCACCCAGUGUGCCCAUCACCACCGGGACCACCUGCACUGGUUUCUGCCAGAGUCUUUGAAGUUCAAUCUUUAUUAUUAUUAUUAUUAUUAUUAUUAUUAUUUAUUAACAUUGACGCUGGGUAGCCAUCUAUCGGGGUGCUUUGCUUGUGCUUUUGGUGCACAAAGGCAGAAGGCGGUUGGACUAAACGGUCUAAGGGGUCUCUUCCAACUCUCUUUGUUAUUAUUAUUAUUAUUAUUGUUGUUGUUGUUGUUAUUAACAUUGACACUGGGUGGCCAUCUGUCAGGGGUGCGUUGCUUGUGCUUUUGGUGCACAAAGGCAGAAGGGGAAUUGGACUCAAUGGCCCAAACCCUCUUUUUUCCAACCCUCUUUUUUAUUAUUAUUAUUAUUGUUGUUGUUGUUGUUGUUGUUAUUAUUAUUAUUAUUAAUUAUUAUUGCUUGGUGGCCAACUAUAGUCCGGCCCUCCAAUGCUCUGAAGAAUAGUGAACUGGCCCCCUGUUUUAAAAGUUUGGGGACCCCUGAUCUAACACUAUCAUCUAUUUGACUACAUCUAGCCAUGCCUUUCCCUUGAUCUUUGGUUUUGGUUUUGCAGAUCCAGUAGGCACAUCAACCAUACAUGGUUUGGUAAUACAGUAGAGUCUCACUUAUCCAACACUCGCUUAUCCAAUGUUCUGGAUUAUCCAACACAUUUUUGUAGUCAAUGUUUUCAAUACAUCGCGAUAUUUUGGUGCUAAAUUCGUAAAUACAGCAAUUACUACAUAACAUUACUGCGUAUUGAAUUACGUUUUCUGUCAAAUUUGUUGUAUAACAUGAUGUUUUGGUGCUUAAUUUGUAAAAUCAUAACCUAAUUUGAUGUUUAAUAGGCUUUUUCUUAAUCUCUCCUUAUUAUCCAACAUAUUCGCUUAUCCAGUGUUCUGCCGGCCCGUUUAUGUUGGAUAAGUGAGACUCUACUGUACCAAUAAAAUGACAUUAAUUUCAGUAGGUUAAACAUUUUUGAAUAUUUACAUCAAGCUCAAAUUUAAGAUAAGACUGUCCAACUCUGAUCAAAUCAUUAUUCUCAUCUUCUUCAAUGUAAAUGUGCUUAUGUAUCCUUUUAAUAAUAAUAGAGUAAAAUAAUACAUGUAAUAAUAAUAAUAAUAAAUAUAGGAAAAUAAUAAAUGCAAUAAUAAUAAUAAGAUCAGAGUGAAAUAAUAAAUGUAUUAAUAAUAAUAAAAAAUAGAGCAAAAUAAAUGUAAUACCGUAUUUCCCCAAAAAUAAGACAGUGUCUUAUAUUAAUUUUUGCUCCCAAAGAUGUGCUAGGUCUUAUUUUCAGGGGAUGUCUUAUUUUUUCCAUGAAGAAGAAUUCACAUUUAUUGUUGAACAAAAAAAUGAACAUUUAUUAUAUACUGUACAGUAGUUGUCAUCACAAACCAGCAUAACCAGACAAACUGUGAAUCCUAUCAAGAAGUUCUUGUUACUACAGUAGAGUCUCACUUAUCCAACACUCGCUUAUCCAACGUUCUGGAUUAUCCAACGCAUCUUUGUAGUCAAUGUUUUCAAUAUAUCGUGAUAUUUUGGUGCUAAAUUAAUAAAUACAGUAAUUACUACAUAGCAUUACUGUGUAUUGGACUACCUUUUCUGCCAAAUUUGUUGUCUAACAUGAUGUUUUGGUGCUUAAUUUGUAAAAUCAUAACCUAAUUUGAUGUUUAAUAGGCUUUUCCUUAAUGCCUCCUUAUUAUCCAACAUAUUCGCUUAUCCAACAUUCUGCCGGCCCGUUUAUGUUGGAUAAGUGAGACUCUACUGUACAAUUAUUUCCAUGUCCAACUAGUAUGUACAUUUACCAAUCCUGAAUGCUCUGGUGUUCUGUUUGGCAGGCGCUGGGCAUGCUUCCAAACAAAAACUCUGCUAGGUCUUACUUUCGGGGGAGGCCUUAUAUUUAGCAAUUCAGCAAAACUUCUACUAGGUCUUAUUUUUCGGGGAUGUCUUAUUUUCGGGGAAACAGGGUAGUAGCAACAAUAACAGAGAAAAUAAUAAAUGUAAUAAUACCAAUAAUAAUAGAGAAAAAUAAUAAAUGUACCAUAUAUUCUCAAGUAUAAGCUGACCCAAAUAUAAGCCAACCAGGACAGUAGGUAUUCUGAAAAGCAAACAUAGCUGCCUUCCUCUCUCUGUCCCACGCAUGACCCAGCCUUCUGGUUGCCUUGGGUGCCGCUUUUUUCCGCCCUUUGUCGUGUGCGUUAUUGUUGUGAUGGUGGGGGAGCGGAGGGGGAAUUCCCCUUCUUUGGAAACGUGCCGCACUCGCUCGCUGUGCCGAAAUGGGUCCGGGUGCAGGAGAGGGCGAGAGACCACCACCCACAGAAGAAGCAGAACUGGGUGAAGCAAAGCAACCAUGGGGUUUCAGCCACAAAGCUGUGCAUGGUGCUGGUCUCUCUAGAGUCGUUGUGUAUUUUCUGGGCUGCCUGGCCAUGUUCCAGAAGCAUUCUCUCCUGACGUUUCAGCCACAUCUAUGGCAGGCAUCCCCUCAGGUUGUGGAGAAACUAAGCAAGGAAGAUUUAUACAUCUGUGGAAAGUCCAGGGUGGGAGAAAGAACUCUUUGUUGGAGGCCGGUGUGAAUGUUGUGAUUCAGGGGUCCUCAAACUUUUAAAGCAGAGAGCCGGUUCACAAUCCUUGAGACUGUGGAGGGGCCGAAUUAUCAUUACAAAAAAAACCCGAAUAAAUUCCUAUGGACACUGCAGGUGUCUUAUUUGUAGUGCAAAACAACAACAACAAUGAAAGAACAAUACAAUAUUUAAAAAUGAAAAUAAUUGUAACCAGCAUAAACCUAUCAGGAUUUCAAUGGAAAGUGUGGGCCUGUUACUGGCCAAUGAGAUAGUCAAGUUAAUUAGGAUUGUUGUUGUUGUGUGCCUUCAAGUCAUUUCACUUUGGGCGAGCCUAAGUCUAAAAUUAUUCAUUUAUUCAUUUACUACAUUUAUUUACUACAUUUAUAUCCCGCCCUUCUCACCCCGAAGGGGACUCAGAGCAGCUGUAUGUACAUACAAUAUAUUAUAUUAUUAGCAUAGCACAAUAUUAGCAUUAUAUAUUACUAUAUUGAACUAUACCACUAUACUGUAAUAUUAUAUGUAAUAUAGAACAUAUAAUUAAUAUUAUUAUAUGAUGUUAUUAUCAGUAUUAUAUUGUAUAACA
rnacentral:lncRNA from 11 species